rnacentral:rRNA from 1 species
AUCAAAACUCUGCACGAGGAACAAUUGGAGGGCAAGUCUGGUGCCAGCAGCCGCGGUAAUUCCAGCUCCAAUAGCGUAUAUUAAAGUUGUUGCAGUUAAAAAGUUCGUAGUUGAAUUUCUGAGCGCGGCGGCGGUCCGCCUUACGGUGUGCACUGGCUUGUCCGCGCUCAAACCUUGUAGAGAAGGCGUGUGGCCUUUACUGGUCGUGCGUUGGAUCUGCAUCAAUUACUGUGAGCAAAUUAGAGUGUUUAAAGCGGGCGUUCGCUUGAAUACAUUAGCAUGGAAUAAUGAGAUAGGACUUUGGUGCUAUUCGUUGGUUGCGUGCCAGAGUAAUGAUUAAUAGGGACAGUUGGGGGUAUUCAUAUUUGAUUGUCAGAGGUGAAAUUCUUGGAUUUAUCAAAGAUGAACAACUGCGAAAGCAUUACAAGGAUGUUUCAUUAAUCAAGAUCGAAAGUCAGGGAUCGAAGAGGAUUAGAUA